GUGUGUGUUAGUGGAAGCGUCUGGAAAGGCGCGCGAUACAGGGUGACAGCCCCGUACACAAAAAUGCACAUACUGUGAGCUCGAUGAGUAGGGCGGGACACGUGGUAUCCUGUCUGAAUAUGGGGGGACCAUCCUCCAAGGCUAAAUACUCCUGACUGACCGAUAGUGAACCAGUACCGUGAGGGAAAGGCGAAAAGAACCCCGGCGAGGGGAGUGAAAAAGAACCUGAAACCGUGUACGUACAAGCAGUGGGAGCACGCUUAGGCGUGUGACUGCGUACCUUUUGUAUAAUGGGUCAGCGACUUAUAUUCUGUAGCAAGGUUAACCGAAUAGGGGAGCCGAAGGGAAACCGAGUCUUAACUGGGCGUUAAGUUGCAGGGUAUAGACCCGAAACCCGGUGAUCUAGCCAUGGGCAGGUUGAAGGUUGGGUAACACUAACUGGAGGACCGAACCGACUAAUGUUGAAAAAUUAGCGGAUGACUUGUGGCUGGGGGUGAAAGGCCAAUCAAACCGGGAGAUAGCUGGUUCUCCCCGAAAGCUAUUUAGGUAGCGCCUCGUGAAUUCAUCUCCGGGGGUAGAGCACUGUUUCGGCAAGGGGGUCAUCCCGACUUACCAACCCGAUGCAAACUGCGAAUACCGGAGAAUGUUAUCACGGGAGACACACGGCGGGUGCUAACGUCCGUCGUGAAGAGGGAAACAACCCAGACCGCCAGCUAAGGUCCCAAAGUCAUGGUUAAGUGGGAAACGAUGUGGGAAGGCCCAGACAGCCAGGAUGUUGGCUUAGAAGCAGCCAUCAUUUAAAGAAAGCGUAAUAGCUCACUGGUCGAGUCGGCCUGCGCGGAAGAUGUAACGGGGCUAAACCAUGCAC
rnacentral:rRNA from 1 species